rnacentral:rRNA from 1 species
GACGAACGCUGGCGGCGUGCCUAAUACAUGCAAGUCGAGCGAAUUUACGAGAGCUUGCUCUCGUAAAUUAGCGGCGGACGGGUGAGUAACACGUGGGCAACCUGCCUAUAAGACUGGGAUAACUUCGGGAAACCGGAGCUAAUACCGGAUAAUUCACAUCUACUCAUGUAGAUGUGCUGAAAGACGGUUUACGCUGUCACUUAUAGAUGGGCCCGCGGCGCAUUAGCUAGUUGGUGAGGUAACGGCUCACCAAGGCCACGAUGCGUAGCCGACCUGAGAGGGUGAUCGGCCACACUGGGACUGAGACACGGCCCAGACUCCUACGGGAGGCUG